UUCAUUUUAUUCUUAUUUCAGGUGAUCCGACAGACGACUUCUCUAUACAGUAUAGAUAUAUUAUAUGUUGUCAAUCCAGUCGCAUCUUGUCUUGGCCUUAACUGUUCAGUUCUGUGUUACAGGGCUGGUUCAUUGUGUAUUUAAGGGUAUCUGGGUCGAUCUACUUUUAUGUCAUUGUCUUUAGUUGUUUUAACAAUAGCCCAGGCUCAGCUUCUCAGUUGAUUGGUGUAAGUUCAAAUAUACUUCUCACCGCCAUGUUACUAAUCAGUUUUGCACCACACUGUCUCUACAUGAGGACUUUCUAAAUAUUGAGUUUUGAUCUAAGGAUUAUUGCACGUGUUGGCUGCCCGGCUGCUGGGUGCUUGAGCACACUCCCGUGUCACCCACAGGAGUGUCUACUCCUACUACUUCUUCCUCUACGGAAUAAAGAUAUAGACCUCACAACCCGUAGCCUGUGGUUAUUACAGAGCACCACUAUUUCAUGGCUGCA